AGCUGGCUGACACAUUGACUUCAGCCUUGUGAGAUUCUGAGCAGAAAAUCCAGUCAAGUCUUCUUGGACUUCAGAACUACAGAAUGGGGUGAGGAGAAUGAGCUGACAGAUUCUCAGUAAUGCAGCCAAGGAUGUGAAGAGGCAGGUCCGGAGCUUGCUGGAAGGACCAACUGUGCACACUCACGUUGGCAAGCUCCGGAAUCCCAGCUGAGCCAAGGCCCUGGCUUUACUUUACCUGGGAGAAGAGAUCAGACCUCUACCCUCCGAAAUAGCUGACCAUUCAUCUGGCAAAUAAUGGAACACCCUGACUGAUUUCCUUGUGUUGGCUGUGUUAAAAUAGCUUAAUAAUCUCCAUGCAACAGAACUCCCUUGAGUAAAUGUGAGUUUCAGACCCAUCAGUGUUUGUGGCAAUUAUUCUGAACUGUUUUCCUUUAGCUAACCUGCUCGCAUUUCUAUCCUUCCC
rnacentral:lncRNA from 10 species